rnacentral:rRNA from 1 species
GGGUUGUGAGGUUAAGCGACUAAGCGUACACGGUGGAUGCCCUGGCAGUCAGAGGCGAUGAAGGGCGUGCUAAUCUGCGAUAAGCGCCGGUAAGGUGAUAUGAACCGUUAUAACCGGCGAUACCCGAAUGGGGAAACCCAGUGUGAUUCGUCACACUAUCAUUAACUGAAUCCAUAGGUUAAUGAGGCGAACCGGGGGAACUGAAACAUCUAAGUACCCCGAGGAAAAGAAAUCAACCGAGAUUCCCCCAGUAGCGGCGAGCGAACGGGGAGGAGCCCAGAGCCUGAAUCAGCAUGUGUGUUAGUGGAAGCGUCUGGAAAGGCGCGCGAUACAGGGUGACAGCCCCGUACACAAAAGCGCAUGUGCUGUGAGCUCGAUGAGUAGGGCGGGACACGUGGUAUCCUGUCUGAAUAUGGGGGGACCAUCCUCCAAGGCUAAAUACUCCUGACUGACCGAUAGUGAACCAGUACCGUGAGGGAAAGGCGAAAAGAACCCCGGCGAGGGGAGUGAAAAAGAACCUGAAACCGUGUACGUACAAGCAGUGGGAGCACAGGUUUACCUGUGUGACUGCGUACCUUUUGUAUAAUGGGUCAGCGACUUAUAUUCUGUAGCAAGGUUAACCGAAUAGGGGAGCCGGAGGGAAACCGAGUCUUAAUUGGGCGUUAAGUUGCAGGGUAUAGACCCGAAACCCGGUGAUCUAGCCAUGGGCAGGUUGAAGGUUGGGUAACACUAACUGGAGGACCGAACCGACUAAUGUUGAAAAAUUAGCGGAUGACCUGUGGCUGGGGGUGAAAGGCCAAUCAAACCGGGAGAUAGCUGGUUCUCCCCGAAAGCUAUUUAGGUAGCGCCUCGUGAAUUCAUCUCCGGGGGUAGAGCACUGUUUCGGCUAGGGGGCCAUCCCGGCUUACCAACCCGAUGCAAACUGCGAAUACCGGAGAAUGUUAUCACGGGAGACACACGGCGGGUGCUAACGUCCGUCGUGAAGAGGGAAACAACCCAGACCGCCAGCUAAGGUCCCAAAGUCAUGGUUAAGUGGGAAACGAUGUGGGAAGGCCCAGACAGCCAGGAUGUUGGCUUAGAAGCAGCCAUCAUUUAAAGAAAGCGUAAUAGCUCACUGGUCGAGUCGGCCUGCGCGGAAGAUGUAACGGGGCUAAACCAUGCACCGAAGCUGCGGCAGCGAACGUAUCACUUAAAGCGAUUCAGCGGGUUACGAUUGACGGAGCGAAGCGACGUCAAAGCGUAUACAAAGUCGAGUCGGUUUAAGGAUACGUUCGUUGGGUAGGGGAGCGUUCUGUAAGCCUGUGAAGGUGGCCUGUGAGGGUUGCUGGAGGUAUCAGAAGUGCGAAUGCUGACAUAAGUAACGAUAAAGCGGGUGAAAAGCCCGCUCGCCGGAAGACCAAGGGUUCCUGUCCAACGUUAAUCGGGGCAGGGUGAGUCGACCCCUAAGGCGAGGCCGAAAGGCGUAGUCGAUGGGAAACAGGUUAAUAUUCCUGUACUUGGUGUUACUGCGAAGGGGGGACGGAGAAGGCUAUGUUGGCCGGGCGACGGUUGUCCCGGUUUAAGCGUGUAGGCUGGUUUUCCAGGCAAAUCCGGAAAAUCAAGGCUGAGGCGUGAUGACGAGGCACUACGGUGCUGAAGCAACAAAUGCCCUGCUUCCAGGAAAAGCCUCUAAGCAUCAGGUAACAUCAAAUCGUACCCCAAACCGACACAGGUGGUCAGGUAGAGAAUACCAAGGCGCUUGAGAGAACUCGGGUGAAGGAACUAGGCAAAAUGGUGCCGUAACUUCGGGAGAAGGCACGCUGACACGUAGGUGAAGUGAUUUACUCACGGAGCUGAAGUCAGUCGAAGAUACCAGCUGGCUGCAACUGUUUAUUAAAAACACAGCACUGUGCAAACACGAAAGUGGACGUAUACGGUGUGACGCCUGCCCGGUGCCGGAAGGUUAAUUGAUGGGGUCAGCGCAAGCGAAGCUCCUGAUCGAAGCCCCGGUAAACGGCGGCCGUAACUAUAACGGUCCUAAGGUAGCGAAAUUCCUUGUCGGGUAAGUUCCGACCUGCACGAAUGGCGUAAUGAUGGCCAGGCUGUCUCCACCCGAGACUCAGUGAAAUUGAACUCGCUGUGAAGAUGCAGUGUACCCGCGGCAAGACGGAAAGACCCCGUGAACCUUUACUAUAGCUUGACACUGAACAUUGAGCCUUGAUGUGUAGGAUAGGUGGGAGGCUUUGAAGUGUGGACGCCAGUCUGCAUGGAGCCGACCUUGAAAUACCACCCUUUAAUGUUUGAUGUUCUAACGUGGACCCGUGAUCCGGGUUGCGGACAGUGUCUGGUGGGUAGUUUGACUGGGGCGGUCUCCUCCUAAAGAGUAACGGAGGAGCACGAAGGUUGGCUAAUCCUGGUCGGACAUCAGGAGGUUAGUGCAAUGGCAUAAGCCAGCUUGACUGCGAGCGUGACGGCGCGAGCAGGUGCGAAAGCAGGUCAUAGUGAUCCGGUGGUUCUGAAUGGAAGGGCCAUCGCUCAACGGAUAAAAGGUACUCCGGGGAUAACAGGCUGAUACCGCCCAAGAGUUCAUAUCGACGGCGGUGUUUGGCACCUCGAUGUCGGCUCAUCACAUCCUGGGGCUGAAGUAGGUCCCAAGGGUAUGGCUGUUCGCCAUUUAAAGUGGUACGCGAGCUGGGUUUAGAACGUCGUGAGACAGUUCGGUCCCUAUCUGCCGUGGGCGCUGGAGAACUGAGGGGGGCUGCUCCUAGUACGAGAGGACCGGAGUGGACGCAUCACUGGUGUUCGGGUUGUCAUGCCAAUGGCACUGCCCGGUAGCUAAAUGCGGAAGAGAUAAGUGCUGAAAGCAUCUAAGCACGAAACUUGCCCCGAGAUGAGUUCUCCCUGAGACUUAGAGUCUCCUGAAGGAACGUUGAAGACGACGACGUUGAUAGGCCGGGUGUGUAAGCGCAGCGAUGCGUUGAGCUAACCGGUACUAAUGAACCGUGAGGCUUAACCUUACAACGCCGAAG